rnacentral:tRNA from 2 species
GGGCCCGUAGCUCACUUGGUAGAGCGCCGCAAUGGCAUUGCGGAGGCAAGGGGAUCGUAGCCCCUCGGGUCCACCA